rnacentral:rRNA from 1 species
AUUUGCGUCGAAGGUAUACCGACAAGGAGUGCUGGAGCGAAUAGAAGUGAGCAUGCAGGCAUGAGUAGCGAUAAUUAAUGUGAGAAUCAUUAACGCCGUAAACCCAAGGUUUCCUACGCGAUGCUCGUCAUCGUAGGGUUAGUCGGGUCCUAAGCUGAGUCCGAAAGGGGUAAGCGAUGGCAAAUAGGUUAAUAUUCCUAUACCAACAUUAGUGUGCGAUGGAAGGACGCUUAGGGCUAAGGGGGCUAGCGGAUGGAAGUGCUAGUCUAAGGUCGUAGGAGGUUAUACAGGCAAAUCCGUAUAACAAUACUCCGAGAACUGAAAGGCUUUUUGAAGUCUUCGGAUGGAAAGAAGAACCCCUGAUGCCGUCGAGCCAAGAAAAGUUUCUAAGUUUAGCUAAUGUUGCCCGUACCGUAAACCGACACAGGUGGGUGGGAUGAGUAUUCUAAGGCGCGUGGAAGAACUCUCUUUAAGGAACUCUGCAAAAUAGCACCGUAUCUUCGGUAUAAGGUGUGCCUCCCUUUGUAUUAGAAUUCACUUCGAAAGCAAAGAAGGUUACAACAAAGAGUCCCUCCCGACUGUUUACCAAAAACACAGCACUCUGCUAACUCGUAAGAGGAUGUAUAGGGUGUGACGCCUGCCCGGUGCUCGAAGGUUAAUUGAUGGGGUUAGCAUUAGCGAAGCUCUUGAUCGAAGCCCGAGUAAACGGCGGCCGUAACUAUAACGGUCCUAAGGUAGCGAAAUUCCUUGUCGGUUAAAUACCGACCUGCAUGAAUGGCGUAACGAGAUGGGAGCUGUCUCAAAGAGGGAUCCAGUGAAAUUGUAGUGGAGGUGAAAAUUCCUCCUACCCGCGGCAAGACGGAAAGACCCCGUGGACCUUUACUACAGCUUGACACUGCUAUUUGGAUAAGAAUGUGCAGGAUAGGUGGGAGGCUUUGAGUAUAUGACGCCAGUUGUAUAUGAGCCAUUGUUGAGAUACCACUCUUUCUUAUUUGGGUAGCUAACCAGCUUGAGUUAUCCUCAAGUGGGACAAUGUCUGGUGGGUAGUUUGACUGGGGCGGUCGCCUCCCAAAUAAUAACGGAGGCUUACAAAGGUUGGCUCAUAGCGGUUGGAAAUCGCUAGUAGAGUAUAAAGGUAUAAGCCAGCUUAACUGCAAGACAUACAAGUCAAGCAGAGACGAAAGUCGGUCUUAGUGAUCCGGUGGUUCUGUGUGGAAGGGCCAUCGCUCAAAGGAUAAAAGGUACCCCGGGGAUAACAGGCUGAUCUCCCCCAAGAGCUCACAUCGACGGGGAGGUUUGGCACCUCGAUGUCGGCUCAUCGCAUCCUGGGGCUGGAGCAGGUCCCAAGGGUAUGGCUGUUCGCCAUUUAAAGCGGUACGCGAGCUGGGUUCAGAACGUCGUGAGACAGUUCGGUCCCUAUCUGCCGUGGGCGUAAGAAGAUUGAAGAGAUUUGACCCUAGUACGAGAGGACCGGGUUGAACAAACCACUGGUGUAGCUGUUGUUCUGCCAAGAGCAUCGCAGCGUAGCUAAGUUUGGAAAGGAUAAACGCUGAAAGCAUCUAAGCGUGAAGCCAACUCUAAGAUGAAUCUUCUCUAAGCUCUCUAGAAGACUACUAGUUUGAUAGGCUGGGUGUGUAAUGGAUGAAAGUCCUUUAGCUGACCAGUACUAAUAGAGCGUUUGGCUUAUCUUAUAAA